UACGAAGGGGGCUAGCGUUGCUCGGAAUCACUGGGCGUAAAGCGCACGUAGGCGGAUUGUUAAGUCAGGGGUGAAAUCCUGGAGCUCAACUCCAGAACUGCCUUUGAUACUGAGGAGCUUGAGUCCGGGAGAGGUGAGUAGAACUCCGAGUGUAGAGGUGAAAUUCGUAGAUAUUCGGAAGAACACCAGUGGCGAAGGCGGCUCACUGGCCCGGUACUGACGCUGAGGUGCGAAAGCGUGGGGAGCAAACAGG
rnacentral:rRNA from 1 species